rnacentral:misc_RNA from 1 species
AACCUAGCACACCUGCGGUGUGUACCUGCGGAGGGAUCAUUAUCGAGUUACCACUCUAUAACCCUUUGUGAACAUACCUACAUGUUGCUUCGGCGGUCGGCCCCCCGGGCCCCCGGCCCCGCUCACGCGGGGCGUCCGCCGGAGGAUAACCAAACUCUGAUUUAACGACGUUUCUUCUGAGUGGCACAAGCAAAUAAUCAAAACUUUUAACAAUGGAUCU